GCUAGUAAUCGCAGAUCAGAAUGCUGCGGUGAAUACGUUCCCGGGUCUUGUACACACCGCCCGUCACACCAUGGGAGCCGGGAAUGCCCGAAGUCGGUGACCCAACCGUAAGGAGGGAGCCGCCGAAGGCAGGCCUGGUAACUGGGGUGAAGUCGUAACAAGGUAGC
rnacentral:rRNA from 1 species